rnacentral:rRNA from 1 species
AAUCAACGCUGGCGGCGUGCCUCAGACAUGCAAGUCGAACGAUUAAAGCUCUCUUCGGAGAGUGCAUAGAGUGGCGCACGGGUGAGUAACACGUAAGUAAUCUACCCUCGAGUGGGGAAUAACGUCCGGAAACGGACGCUAAUACCGCAUAAUGCAGCGGCACCGCAAGGUGACAGUUGUUAAAGAUUUAUCGCUUGAGGAGGAGCUUGCGGCAGAUUAGCUAGUUGGUAAGGUAAUGGCUUACCAAGGCUACGAUCUGUAACCGGUCUUAGAGGACGGUCGGUCACACUGACACUGAAUAACGGGUCAGACUCCUACGGGAGGGCAGCAGUCGGGAAUUUUGGGUCGAAUGGGCGAAAGCCUGACCCAGCAACGCCGCGUGAAGGAUGAAGUAUUUCGGUAUGUAAACUUCGAAAGAAUAGGAAGAAUAAAUGACGGUACUAUUUAUAAGGUCCGGCUAACUACGUG